rnacentral:sRNA from 1 species
AGAAAAUGUAACGGUUACAUAGAAACACACGGCGUAGUUUCCGAAUAUACUUAUUUGUUUUUCUUAAUUUCUUUAAUGAAUUAUGAAUUGGCAGACUUUUUUCUCUUAAACUUUUU